ensembl:lncRNA novel transcript
UGAGAAUCAAUUUGUGAGGCAGGAAACCUGCUAGCAGGACUCUCGCUUUGCUGAGUUAAUUUUUCCUUUUUCCUUUCCACCCAAUAAGUUCCAUUUUCCUCACCCUUCUAUGUAUCCACAAGCCUAAUCAUUCCUGGUUGUGUGACAAGAGGCCAGUUUUAGCUGAACUAAGGAGAAAGUUCUGCAACAUUUUUGGCAUCCAGAUAUGGGGCUCGAGGAAAGGAACCUGUAGGAGGAUGUGAGACAGCACCUCGGGGCACAGAUGGCAGGCAGAGCCCCAGACUCGGAAACUGGAAGUAGUUCUCCAGGGUUGAUUUUAGGAGCAGAAGACCACAGCCUGAACUUGAUUAUCAUCUUGGCAGCUACAGACACUGUUCCAUCAUUAUCAAGUAUUCAGUGCGAUAGCUGAGAAAUCUGAGACCAUUCUAAUCUUCAUUAUAUUGGUACAAGAAAGGUGAUUAUAAACAUUUACAUUUGUAGUUGGGGAUGAAAGAUUUGAACUGUGCCUACCAGAGGGUCCUGAUCUGAAAAGAGGGUGAUAAUAGAAUACAGUAUGAGACAUUUCUGUUGAUGGGUAAGAAUCAUCACUCUGAAACAAGGCUGCCUGAAUCUGGAUCCUGGCUCUACCGCUUUCCAGCAACAUUGUGAGGAUUCAGCAAGUCUAGAAUUAUAAUCCCUAAUAUUUAUUUUUUAAGUAAAGGAUGGGAUGUCUGCUAAUUUCAAGUCAGCACCAAACUGGUUCUGGAGGCUGUGAAGUCUGAGGUCAAUGGCCCACAUCUGGUGAAGGCCUGCUCGCUAGUGAGGACUCUCUGGAGAGUUCCAAAUUGGCACAUAGCAUCAUAUGGCUUGAACUGAAUAAUUUGUUCUUGGCUCUUGAGCCUGCUGGCUUUUGGACUGGAACUUGAACUAUUAGCAAUCCUGGUACUCAGGGCUUUGGACUUGAACUGGAUUACUCUAUCGGUUCUCCUGGCUCUCCAGUGGGCCAACUACGGAUCUUAGGACUUCUCAGUCUCAAUAAUCAUGUUUCUCUCACAUCGACAUAGAAACUCUGCUGACAUUGAUGACUUGCCUGGUGGUGUGAUACAGAUGAUCAUUCAUGAAGGGUCUGAGCCCCUUGCUACUACACCCUGUUCAGGCCUGGAUUGCUGCAUGUAUUAUGACAAUGGAAAUUGAGUACCAAAGAAACAUCCUAGAGGCUUAACUGGGGACCACACAUAGUCCUUUUUGUCCCCAUGGGAUAUAAGUCACCAUAUGUCCUCUUGAUGAUCAGCAUCGAUUAUCCCUGACAGAGUGGUGACUCCUUUUAUUACCUUCUGGUUCUUUCACACAAGGAGCCAGGAAUGCCAAGGCAGCAGUCACAGUUUAUAAUUAAAUGUUAAUCUUGCUGAGUCCUCUGGCAUAAAUGUUCUCCAUUUGGAACUGAAGACCUCUGAACCUGCAAAUUCCACAGUUUUAGGGAUAAGAAUAUUUUAUAAGUGAGUGUCCGAGUUGAUGAGAAGAACUUCUUGGUUCCCAGAUUCAUCUCUUCUUGCUAUAGAAAUGCAGCAUUAUAUAAAUGUCUUUUAAUUCAAGGUAUAAAUGGUCUUGGAGAAUGACACGCUAAUCUAGUAAGUAUCACCUCUGAAUUGGUAUUUACGUUGUGUCUUUAAGAAGUUGUUUCAAUGCUCCCAGAGACCGGCAGCUUCUGAGGAGUGACCAGUCCUGCUCCUUGUUAUAAUGUAAAUCCUCUGAGACGACACAAUGUUGUAUGGAAUCCCAUACUGCUGGGUCAAACAUUCAUAAUAUUUCAAAUUGUGAGGGCUUAUGGAAUGACCUUGUUGCAGAAUUCCUGGGGCCUGAGUUAUGACUCUUCCUCUGGUUUUUUUUUAAACAAACUCCACUUGGCAUCCUUUUGCCAACACUAAUAUCUCCAAUACCAUAUGGCCUGCCAGAUCAUAUGUCCCCAGGUGGUAAUGUUUCAGGUAGACAGGUAUGAGCUAGCCAGGAGAAGGUUCUCCCUGCACCACCAGAAAUGUCAGGCAAUCAUCAGGUGAUGGUUUGGCAGUUAUAUUGCCUCUCAAAAAAUGGUAAUUUGGCAGCUGGCACCAGGGAGAGACAAUCUCCUGAUGGUCCACAGCUGUCACACUAAAGUGUUAAUUGAAUGCAGGUGCCAAGGGGAGGCAACUUCUUAAACAGAUAAAAACACUUGAGAUUGGUAAGCAGCUUCCAAUAAAAUCUCAGGAAUUGGGUGAGUGAGCGCAGGCAUGCAAAUUAAGAGACAAAAUGGCAGAGUAUGACCUUCUGGGGGCAUUCCACCAGAAAAGGGAAGAAAGCCUCAGAUGGGCAUGUGUACAACUUUCUAAACACACUGAGCAUGCUGCAUACUGCAUAUGUGGCCAGCCCUCCCUAUGGGAAGAAUCAUGGGAAAAAGGAACAAGACACUGGGAGUGGGCCAGCCUAUAAAGUCCCAGAAUCAAAGUUAAAUGCCACACUUAUCGUUCAAGUUGCCCACCUGGGUCUCUUCCACGUGUAUUUACUUUUCUUUCCUGUUGAAAAGCCUUUUUAAAUAAACUUCCACUCCUGCUCUGAAACUUUCCUUGGUGUCUUUUUCGGCCUUAUGCCGCUCAGUCGAAUUUUUUCUUCCGAGCAGGCAGGAAUUGAGGUUGCUGUAGACCCAUAUGGGUUCGCCCCCAUAACUCAAG